GCUAGAAGGAGCUAGCUGGGAGUCCUGGAUCCCCAUGUGGAAGAGAGAUUCCCACCAGCCAGGAAUAACUGCCUGGGCCAUUGAGAAAGAAAUAUAAACCCUUUAGGCUCUUCCUUGUUACAGCAGUUGAUUCUACACCAAUGGCAAUUCAGAACCUUGAAAGAAAGAGAAGAGUCAAGAAAUUUAGUUGAACACAAUGAAAUCUGUGCUCUCUAGACCCUAAAUACAACCUCCUGACUGGUGAAGAGAACAAGAGAGAAGUGCUACGUGAACAACACGAUGGCCCAUAGUGCAACUAGGCUAAGCUCCCAGGGAACCAUCACAUACUUUCCUACUCAUGGAUGGAGAUGAAGACAUUAAGAGCUCCCAAAUUUUAUUUGGAUGAAUAUUUUGUGGCAUGUGCUUAACGGUUUCUUAGAGAACUCCCAUCUGUCACCCAACAACUGCCUAUAUUUUUACAAUUAAACCAUGAUCUCAGAUUGGACGUCAGCACUUCUGAGCAAUUUUCCUCCAUGAUUUCCUGAAGCCUCAAAAAUAAUGGUUUGUACAUACCUUGGUCUCCUUCAUACCCACCCCAGAAAAUGCCCUUCAUAAGUCUUGUGUGGGUGGUAGAACUUUGAAGGAACAUUUGGCAAGACUCACAGCCACCAAAGAAACAAAGACCUCAUUUCUACUGCCAUGAUGGACCAAGUUUAUCCAAAAAUCUGUAUCAUCUUAGAAGCUGACUUUGCCCCAGAGCUUCCCUAUGUGGUGUAGCUGAUAUCUUCGAAUUCAAUCUUGAGAGACUGAGGAAAGAAUCCACUCGAGUCCACUGGAAUUUCUGAACUACACAACUGUCAGAUAAUAAAUGAAGUUAUUUAGCUGCUAAGUUUGUGGUUGCCGGCUGUGCAGUGAUGAAGGGUUGUACCUGACAGGAGCUGGGAAAGAGAGACACACAGGUUGAAGAGAAAAACACCACCCAGCUUCCUGGAGGAUUUUAGAGUUCGGCUUUAGAAGACUGACUGGGAAAUCAGCAACUGCUGGUCUUUAUAAUAACCACACUGAGAAACCACUGAUUGCAGAGGAGUGAUAA